AAUUUCAUUUUAAGAAAAGGACCUAAAUUUGAUAUAUGGUGUUUCUCUCAUUUAUCCAACUAGUUCCUGUCUUUGUACUUCAGUUUGGUUCAAUUCUGUCUGAGGAUCCACUGCAGUGAGAAGGAUGGUGUAUGCCUUGCAGGUUUCUUUUUAAAAUAUACAACCUGAAUAUUCUGUGUAUCUAAUCCAGUACUUGCUUUGUCAAUAGUUCCUCUCUCUCUCGAC
rnacentral:lncRNA from 1 species